rnacentral:rRNA from 1 species
ACUGAACGCUGGCGGCAGGCUUAACACAUGCAAGUCGAGCGGGGGAGGUUGCUUCGGUAACUGACCUAGCGGCGGACGGGUGAGUAAUGCUUAGGAAUCUGCCUAUUAGUGGGGGACAACAUUCCGAAAGGGAUGCUAAUACCGCAUACGCCCUACGAGGGAAAGCAGGGGAUCUUCGGACCUUGCGCUAAUAGAUGAGCCUAAGUCGGAUUAGCUAGUUGGUGGGGUAAAGGCCUACCAAGGCGACGAUCUGUAGCGGGUCUGAGAGGAUGAUCCGCCACACUGGGACUGAGACACGGCCCAGACUCCUACGGAAGGCAGCAGUGGGGAAUAUUGGACAAUGGGCGGAAGCCUGAUCCAGCCAUGCCGCGUGUGUGAGGAAGGCCUUUUGGUUGUAAAGCACUUUAAGCGAGGAGGAGGCUCUUAAGGUUAAUACCCUUGAUGAGUGGACGUUACUCGCAGAAUAAGCACCGGCUAACUCUGUGCCAGCAGCCGCGGUAACAC